rnacentral:rRNA from 1 species
AUUGAACGCUAGCGGGAUGCUUUACACAUGCAAGUCGAGCGAGUGGCGGACGGGUGAGUAAUAUAUGGGAACGUGCCCAGUAGCGGGGGAUAACUACUCGAAAGAGUGGCUAAUACCGCAUACUAUGAGAUGGGCCGAUAUGGGAUUAGCUGGUUGGUGGGGUAAAGGCUCACCAAGGCAACGAUCCUUAGCUGGUUUGAGAGGACGACCAGCCACACUGGGACUGAGACACGGCCCAGCCUCCUACGGGAGGCAGCAGUGGGGAAUUUUGGACAAGGGGGGCAACCCUGAUGCAGCCAUCCCGCGUGUAUGAGAAGGCCUUCGGGUUGUAAAGUACUUUCGGCAGGGAAGCGGUACCUGCAGAAUAAGCACCGGCUAACUACGUGCCAGCAGCCGCGGUAAUAC